rnacentral:lncRNA from 1 species
AUGCCCAGCUCCGCGCCGCGCGGACCCUCGGAGCCCGCGCUCAGACGCCCCAGCUCCACCGAGAGGCCGCUUGCUCCGGGUCCUUCUUCUUCCCCAAGUGCGGGCAGAGCCCCCGGAGCCAUGGUCAGCCCUUCCGGCAGCUCCGAAGCCACUGGCAAGCCCCGAGGCAGGGAUGGCCCGCCCAGGAGGGAGGAAGACGACGUCCCUUCUGAAGAGAAGAGGCUGCGGCUGUUGCUGGAGGGGGAAGCGCACAGCCCGAGGACUGCGAGGACGGGGAGGACGCGCCCCGGCUGGGCAGGGAGGAGACCGGCACCCAGACAGGUGGCGACAGCAGAGAAGUGGAAUUCUCCACGAGUUUUCGGCAGCCUCGGUUUUCCCACCACCUCUAAAUCAUGCAAGACACAGGGUAAGAGCAAAGACAAGGUGGCUGUGGCCGAUGUCCACCCUCUCGGGGCGUCCCUUCUCUUCUCUGCUCCUUGGGCAGGGAGACCAUCGGGGUGCAACCUGGCUGGGGCGGGGAGGAGGUGCAGGGCCUGGCCAGAGCGGGACUGGCCACAGGCGGGGACAGCGACUGCCUGGGCCGGGGCAGGUGAGCGCAGCGCAGGCCAAGGCCAGGUGUGUCCGCGGUGCGCGCUAGAGGCCAGCAGUGGGCGCCAGAGAGCCAGGAGCGGCCCGCGGAGGAGCCCGCGCCGGCCCCGAUGCCCAGCUCCGCGCCGCGCGGACCCACCGAGCCCGCGCUCAGACGCCCCAGCUCCGCCGACAGGCCGCUCGCGCCGGGUCCUUCCUCUUCCCCAGGUGCAGGCAGAGCCCCCGGAGCCAUGGCCAGCCCUUCCGGCAGCUCCGAAGUCACUGGCAAGCCCCGAGGCAGGGAUGGCCGGCCCAGGAGGGAGGAGGACGACGUCCCUUCCGAAGAGAAGAGGCUGCGGCUGUUGCUGGAGGGGGGAAGCGCACAGCCCGAGGACUGCGAGGACGGGGAGGACGCGCCCCGGCCGGGCAGGGAGGAGACCGGCACCCAGACAGGUGGCGACGGCAGAGGAAUCCUUCUUAGAAAUUCCUAAGGCUCAAUGCUGUGUGGAAGAUUCUGAGAAAGAAAAUAGUUUCCGAUCUUUGGGAUUCCCGAGAAGGUCCAAUCUGCAAAAAGUUCAUUGCCAUUUCCAUCAAGGACACUGAGAACAAGAGUCUUAUCUGGAUUGGAUCCUGGGAAUUGAGAAGCUUCAGCAG